rnacentral:rRNA from 1 species
CAGCAGCCACGGUAAAACAGAGGGUGCGAGCGUUAAUCGGAUUUACUGGGCGUAAAGCGUGCGUAGGCGGCUUUUUAAGUCGGAUGUGAAAUCCCUGAGCUUAACUUAGGAAUUGCAUUCGAUACUGGGAAGCUAGAGUAUGGGAGAGGAUGGUAGAAUUCCAGGUGUAGCGGUGAAAUGCGUAGAGAUCUGGAGGAAUACCGAUGGCGAAGGCAGCCAUCUGGCCUAAUACUGACGCUGAGGUACGAAAGCAUGGGGAGCAAACAGGAUUAGAUACCCGAGUAGUCCCUGUCUCUUAUAC